UACGAAGGGGGCUAGCGUUGCUCGGAAUUACUGGGCGUAAAGGGCGCGUAGGCGGCCUGCUAAGUCGGAUGUGAAAUCCCUCGGCUCAACCGAGGAACUGCAUCCGAUACUGGCGGGCUUGAAUCCGGGAGAGGGAUGUGGAAUUCCAGGUGUAGCGGUGAAAUGCGUGAGAUAUCUGGAGGAACACCGGUGGCGAAGGCGGCAUCCUGGACCGGUAUUGACGCGUGAGGCGGCGAAAGCUAGGGGAGCAACGGG
rnacentral:rRNA from 1 species